UACGUAGGGUGCGAGCGUUAAUCGGAAUUACUGGGCGUAAAGCGUGCGCAGGCGGUUUUGUAAGCCAGGUGUGAAAUCCCCGGGCUCAACCUGGGAAUGGCAUUUGGGACUGCAAGGCUGGAGUGCGGCAGAGGAGACUGGAAUUCCUGGUGUAGCAGUAAAAUGCGUAGAUAUCAGGAGGAACACCGAUGGCGAAGGCAGGUCUCUGGGCUGACACUGACGCUCAUGCACGAAAGCGUGGGGAGCAAACAGG
rnacentral:rRNA from 1 species